CUACAAAUGCGUCGUANNCAAAGGGUUGCCAAGCCGCGAGGUGGAGCUAAUCCCAUAAAACCGAUCGUAGUCCGGAUCGCAGUCUGCAACUCGACUGCGUGAAGUCGGAAUCGCUAGUAAUCGUGAAUCAGAAUGUCACGGUGAAUACGUUCCCGGGCCUUGUACACACCGCCCGUCACACCAUGGGAGUGGGUUGCUCCAGAAGUAGCUAGUCUAACCGCAAGGGGGACGGUUACCACGGAGUGAUUCAUGACUGGGGUGAAGUCGUAACAAGGUAGCCGUAGGGGAACCUGCGGUUGGAUCACCUCCUAA
rnacentral:rRNA from 1 species